rnacentral:tRNA from 5 species
GCGCCAGUAGCUCAGCUGGAUAGAGUAUCUGGCUACGAACCAGAGGGUCGGGGGUUCGAAUCCCUCCUGGCGUGCCA